rnacentral:rRNA from 1 species
UACGAAGGGUGCUAGCGUUGUUCGGAAUUACUGGGCGUAAAGCGCGCGUAGGCGGUCUAUCAAGUCAGAGGUGAAAGCCCUGGGCUCAACCCAGGAAUUGCCUUUGAAACUGAUCGACUUGAGUACUGGAGGGGAUAGCGGAAUUCCUAAUGUAGAGGUGAAAUUCGUAGAUAUUAGGAGGAACACCGGUGGCGAAGGCGGCUAUCUGGACAGUAACUGACGCUGAGGCGCGAAAGCGUGGGGAUCAAACAGG